rnacentral:rRNA from 1 species
AGUGAACGCUGGCGGUAGGCCUAACACAUGCAAGUCGAACGGCAGCACAGUAAGAGCUUGCUCUUACGGGUGGCGAGUGGCGGACGGGUGAGGAAUACAUCGGAAUCUACUUUUUCGUGGGGGAUAACGUAGGGAAACUUACGCUAAUACCGCAUACGACCUACGGGUGAAAGCAGGGGAUCUUCGGACCUUGCGCGAUUGAAUGAGCCGAUGUCGGAUUAGCUAGUUGGCGGGGUAAAGGCCCACCAAGGCGACGAUCCGUAGCUGGUCUGAGAGGAUGGUCAGCGACACUGGAACUGAGACACGGUCCAGACGACUAAGGUAGGCAGCAGUGGGGAAUAGUGGACAAUGGGCGCAAGCCUGAUCCAACCAUACCGCGUGGGUGAAGGAGGCAUUGGGGUUGGAAAGCCCUUUUGUUGGGAAAGAAAAGCAGCAGGUUAAUACCCCGCUGUUCUGACGGUACCCAAAGAAUAAGCACCGGCUAACUUCGUG